GACGAACGCUGGCGGCGUGCUUAACACAUGCAAGUCGAACGGUGAAGCGCCUUCCUUUUUGGUGGGUGUGGAUGAGUGGCGAACGGGUGAGUAACACGUGAGUAACCUGCCCCCUUCUUCUGGAUAACCGCAUGAAAGUGUGGCUAAUACGGGAUAUUCUGGGUCUGUCGCAUGAUGGGUCUGGGAAAGAUCUUGUUUCGGUUGGUGAUGGGCUCGCGGCCUAUCAGCUUGUUGGUGGGGUGCUGGACUACCCAGGCGGUGACGGGUAGCCGGCCUGGGAGGGUGGACGGUCACACUGGGACUGAGACACGGCCCAGACUCCUACGGGAGGCAGCAGUGGGGAAUAUUGCACAAUGGGCGCAAGCCUGAUGCAGCGACGCCGCGUGAGGGAUGGAGGCCUUCGGGUUGUGAACCUCUUUCGCCAGUGAAGCAGGCCUGCCUCGUUUGUGGGUGGGUUGACGGUAGCUGGAUAAGAAGCGCCGGCUAACUACGUG
rnacentral:rRNA from 1 species